rnacentral:rRNA from 1 species
AGAGAACUUAGCAGAGAUGCUUUGGUGCCUUCGGGAACUCUGAGACAGGUGCUGCAUGGCUGUCGUCAGCUCGUGUUGUGAAAGUGUUGGGUUAAGUCCCGCAACGAGCGCAACCCUUAUCCUUUGUUGCCAGCGGCUCGGCCGGGAACUCAAAGGAGACUGCCGGUGAUAAACCGGAGGAAGGUGGGGAUGACGUCAAGUCAUCAUGGCCCUUACGGCCAGGGCUACACACGUGCUACAAUGGCGCAUACAAAGAGAAGCGACCUCGCGAGAGCAAGCGGACCUCAUAAAGUGCGUCGUAGUCCGGAUUGGAGUCUGCAACUCGACUCCAUGAAGUCGGAAUCGCUAGUAAUCGUAGAUCAGAAUGCUACGGUGAAUACGUUCCCGGGCCUUGUACACACCGCCCGUCACACCAUGGGAGUGGGUUGCAAAAGAAGUAGGUAGCUUAACCUUCGGGAGGGCGCUUACCACUUUGUGAUUCAUGACUGGGGUGAAGUCGUAACAAGGUAAGCGUAGCGAG